rnacentral:rRNA from 2 species
UACAGAGACUGCAAGCGUUGUUCGGAUUCAUUGGGCGUAAAGGGUGCGCAGGCGGCUCGUUAAGUCGGAUGUGAAAUCUCACAGCCUAACUGUGAUAGGUCAUUCGAAACUGGCGGGCUUGAGGGCUGGAGAGGAGACUGGAAUAGUCGGUGUAGCGGUGAAAUGCGUAGAGAUCGACUAGAACACCGGUGGCGAAGGCGGGUCUCUGGACAGUUCCUAACGCUCAUGCACGAAAGCCAGGGGAGCAAACGGG